rnacentral:lncRNA from 1 species
UCAUCCUUUAUGAUUCCCAAGGAGCGUCUGAGCAUUUGUGAAGAAAGAGGAGCGUGCCUAAUCAUUAUAUAUACGAAGACCAAGCUCAAGACUAAGUAUCUCAUUGAAAAAUAUUAGUUACACAUAUUGAGUCUUUGUUGAGUCUUUGUUAAGUCUUUGUUGAGUCCUUUAUUAUUUGAUUGUAAUUCUUGCUUGUGGAUUCUAUAACACGAGUUAAGAAGUAAGUUUAUUAGUUUAAGGUUGCUCCUAAGCUUUGAAGUACGGAGUUUACCAUGUGUGAUUCACUUGAAGCUUUUAAGCAAAAGUGAAGUGUUGUCUUGACAAGUUGUCACCACAUCUUUCCUAACAUUGUAUAAUCAACACAGGUUGUGUUGUGU